rnacentral:rRNA from 1 species
GACAGAGGGGGGCAAGCGUUGCUCGGAAUUACUGGGCGUAAAGGGCGCGUAAGCGGGAUGGCAAGUCGGUCGUGAAAUCCCUCGGCUCAACCGAGGAACGUCGAUCGAUACUGCUGUUCUUGAGGAUUGCAGAGGAGACUGGAAUUCCCGGUGUAGCGGUGAAAUGUGUAGAGAUCGGGAGGAACACCGGUGGCGAAGGCGGGUCUCUGGGGCAAUUCCUGACGCUGAGGCGCGAAAGCGUGGGGAGCAAACGGG